rnacentral:rRNA from 1 species
UACAGAGGUCUCGAGCGUUGUUCGGAUUCAUUGGGCGUAAAGGGUGCGUAGGUGGCGGGGUAAGUCGGAUGUGAAAUCCCGGGGCUCAACCCCGGAACUGCAUUCGAUACUGCUUUGCUAGAGUACUGGAGAGGAGAUCGGAAUUUACGGUGUAGCAGUGAAAUGCGUAGAUAUCGUAAGGAAGACCAGUGGCGAAGGCGGAUCUCUGGACAGUUACUGACACUGAGGCACGAAGGCCAGGGGAGCAAACGGG